rnacentral:rRNA from 1 species
UACGGAGGGGGCUAGCGUUGUUCGGAAUUACUGGGCGUAAAGGGUGCGUAGGUGGUUUAGUAAGUUGGAAGUGAAAGCCCGGGGCUUAACCUCGGAAUAGCUUUCAAAACUACUAAUCUAGAGUGUAGUAGGGGAUGAUGGAAUUCCUAGUGUAGAGGUGAAAUUCUUAGAUAUUAGGAGGAACACCGGUGGCGAAGGCGGUCAUCUGGGCUACAACUGACACUGAUGCACGAAAGCGUGGGGAGCAAACAGG